UCAAUCAUAUUCAUAUCGGAGCUAGCCUCACCCGUCUUUCCUUGCUUGCUUCAUUAGUUCAAGCAGAGUGCUAUUUUCAGGGGCAAAUUCUUGGAGCAUUUUCAGCCUGUGGGAGCUAGCUAGGAGAUCGAUCUCAGGAGCAAGGAAGGAAGAAGAAUGGCUCGUCGCAACGGCGUGAAGAGGAGCAUCUGUCAGUGGCUCUGCGGCUGCUCCUCAUCUUCCACGGAAGAAUAAGUACAACAACCUCUGAUACUAGCAGAGCAUUAAGUUUGCAGUGCUCACUUGUUUGGUUCGUUGCUCACUUGCUCCUUGGUAUGGAGUCUUGUGAUUGUAAGUGUCAUGUGUACAUAGUCAGAUUUCGAAAUAAAGCCUGAGUAUUUGGUUUUAUGUACGUGUGCCAUGAACGUAGCAUCCAUAAAACACGCAGGUGGAGAACUAGCGGGGUGGCCCACGCCGUGACUACACUUGUAGAAUGGAAUGAUGUUUUUAUGUAUUUAUAUUUAUGUUUUGCAAUAGAUUUAUUUUGUAUGCAA